rnacentral:misc_RNA from 1 species
GGUUUUUUGACCCAAUCUAUCUGAACUUGUGGUAAUAUUGAUAAAACAUUUGGGCUUAAAAAUGAUGUUUUUUAUUGAAUAUCGGCUCAAACAACUUUAUAAACUCUUUUAUUAUUGACUGAAAUAUCAAGUAAAUUAAUCCAAUCUUUGGGUUAAAAAAAAAAAAAAAAAAAAGUUUUAAAUAACUUUCAACAACGGAUCUCUUGGUUCUCGCAUCGAUGAAGAACGCAGCGAAAUGCGAUACGUAAUGUGAAUUGCAGAUUUUGUGAAUCAUCGAAUCUUUGAACGCAUAUUGCACUCUUUGGUAUUCCGAAGAGUAUGCUUGUUUCAGUAUCAUGAAAAAUCUCACAAUUUUCAAUUUUUUGUUGAAAAUAGUGGACUUGGAUUUGCGAUUCAUCUAAGGAAUUGCUAAUCUGAAAUGAAUUUUCAUGAAGCUAAAAUGCUUUUAAUCUUUGCUUAAUAGUUUUGCUUUGUCAAAUCUUUUGCAUUGGUUUUUAAAAGCGAAAAAAGUGAAUUGAUUUUUACGAAAAAAUAAUUAAAUCUCAUUUU